rnacentral:rRNA from 1 species
UGGGGAAUAUUGGACAAUGGGGGGAACCCUGAUCCAGCGAUGCCGCGUGUGUGAAGAAGGCCUGCGGGUUGUAAAGCACUUUUGUAUGGGAAGAAAGGUUGAUGUUUAAGAGAUGUUAACUGUGACGGUACCAUAAGAAGAAGCACCGGCUAACUCUGUGCCAGCAGCCGCGGUAAUACAGAGGGUGCGAGCGUUAAUCGGAAUAACUGGGCGUAAAGGGCGAGUAGGCGGAUUAUUAAGUUAGAUGUGAAAGAUACGGGCUCAACCUGUGGAUGUCAUCUAAGACUGAUAGUCUAGAGAACAGUAGAGGGGAGUGGAAUUUCCGGAGGAGCGGUGAAAUGCGUAGAUCUCGGAAGGAACACCGGUGGCGAAGGCGACUCUCUGGACUGUAACUGACGCUGAGGAGCGAAAGCGUGGGGAGCAAACA